AUGUAACCGCCAUGGGGGUAGGAGCCCAGAACUAUUCUCCGGAAGAAGAGGAACCAGAAGACAAGACAUUGGAUUUUAAAUACAGUUAUCCACAAAGUAGCUUGGGCUCCUUGGAAAAGUGACUGAUGGUACAGAGUUGGCAGUAAGGAAGCAAAAUAUACCAGGAAUCUCUUCUCAGAAAGAUAAUUUCGGGCUCUGUGUAUGAGAAAAAGAGAAUAUUAUGUGACUAUUUCCUGCAAACAGAAACACUCCUUCCUGGAGUAAAGAUGGAGGCUCAUAAGACCCAGGAAGCAAACACAACUUACAAGCCUGCUGAUCACCAUUCUGUCUGGACCCUCAUUGUGUACAGUCAGUGGGGGAUUCUCUGUCUGGACUGACUGUCCAUCAGCUGCCUCCUGACCAGUGUUUGUGAAGACCCUCAGUUGAGAGAUGCUCUAACUGCGCCUCUCCCAGGCAUGUGCCACACAUCUCAUGGGUCAUCCAGUCGCCAGCAUGGGCAGUUUGCCUUUUCUACAGACAAGAGUUUAAAUGAGAAUCGCAGCCCCAGCUGACAGACAUGAACAAAGAUAAAGAUGUGAGCUCUCAGGUACUGCUCCAGCACCAUA